rnacentral:misc_RNA from 1 species
CACAGGGCAGCGUGGUGGGUAACGCCCACCCGGGGCAACCCGCGGGACAGUGCCACAGAGAACAGACCGCCAGCGGCCUGGAUGAACCCCGUGGUUCAUCCAGGUGCGGGUGAGGGUGAAACGGUGGUGUAAGAGACCACCAGCUCCCCAGGUGACUGGGGAGGCUCGGUAAACCCCACGUGGAGCAAGGCCAAGAAGGACGGCGGGCAACCGUCGUCCGCGCGAGCGUUCGAGGGCUGCCCGCCCGAGCUCGCGGGUAGGCUGCUGGAGGCGGCUGGUAACAGCCGCCGUAGAUGGAUGGUCGCCGACA